GUAGGGAAUAUUGCGCAAUGGACGAAAGUCUGACGCAGCGACGCCGCGUGAGUGAUGAAGGCCUUAGGGUCGUAAAGCUCUGUUGAAUGGGAAGAAAAAAAUGACGGUACCAUUCGAGGAAGGACCGGCUAACUUCGUGCCAGCAGCAGCGGUAAUACGAGGGGUCCUAGCGUUGUUCGGAAUCAUUGGGCGUAAAGGGUGUGUAGGUGGACAUGUAAGUCAGGUGUGAAAGCCGCGGGCUCAACCCGGGAAGUGCACUGGAUACUGCGUGGCUUGAGUACCGAAGAGGGUAGUGGAAUUCCAGGUGUAGUGGUGAAAUACGUAGAUAUCUGGAGGAACACCGGUGGCGAAGGCGGCUACCUGGUCGAGUACUGACACUGAGACACGAAAGCAUGGGGAUCAAACAGGAUUAGAAACCCGGGUAGUCC
rnacentral:rRNA from 1 species